AACAGAAAACCAAAAAAAAA
rnacentral:sRNA from 1 species